AUGUAUCUAUCUGCUUCCCUAUUCCUCUCCAUCUUCCUCUCUUUUUCUCUCUUAUCGUCACCUCUCUUUUUCUCUUUCUCGCCAUCCUCUCUUUUUCUCUUUCUCGCCAUCCUCUCUUUUCUACCUCUACAUCACAUUUCUUUUUCUCCUCCAAUUCAAAAUAAAAAACAUAAACCCUUCUCUUUCUUUCAAAACAACAAAAUCAAAAUUCACAAGCAUCAUCAAACAAAAUUAAAAAAAACGAGAGUAAUUUUUUUCCUACGAAGAAACGAAGGUGCGCUAUCAGCAGUUGGAGAGUUGAUGAGUUGA